AGAGUUUGAUCCUGGCUCAGAUUGAACGCUAGCGGGAUGCUUUACACAUGCAAGUCGAACGCAGCACGGACUUCGGUCUGGUGGCGAGUGGCGAACGGGUGAGUAAUAUAUCGGAACGUGCCCAGUAGCGGGGGAUAACUACGCGAAAGCGUAGCUAAUACCGCAUACGUCCUACGGGAGAAAGCGGGGGACCUUCGGGCCUCGCACUAUUGGAGCGGCCGAUAUCGGAUUAGCUAGUUGGUGGGGUAAAGGCUCACCAAGGCGACGAUCCGUAGCUGGUUUGAGAGGACGACCAGCCACACUGGGACUGAGACACGGCCCAGACUCCUACGGGAGGCAGCAGUGGGGAAUUUUGGACAAUGGGGGCAACCCUGAUCCAGCCAUCCCGCGUGUGCGAUGAAGGCCUUCGGGUUGUAAAGCACUUUUGGCAGGAAAGAAACGGUUCCGGAUAAUACCUGGAGCAACUGACGGUACCUGCAGAAUAAGCACCGGCUAACUACGUGCCAGCAGCCGCGGUAAUAC
rnacentral:rRNA from 1 species